rnacentral:rRNA from 1 species
CUGGCGGCGUGCUUAACACAUGCAAGUCGAACGGUGAAGGGGAGCUUGCUUCCUGGAUCAGUGGCGAACGGGUGAGUAACACGUGAGCAAUCUGCCCCUGACUCUGGGAUAACAGUUGGAAACAGCUGCUAAUACCGGAUACGAGACGUGACCGCAUGGUCAACGUUUGGAAAGAACUUCGGUCAGGGAUGAGCUCGCGGCCUAUCAGCUUGUUGGUGAGGUAAUGGCUCACCAAGGCGUCGACGGGUAGCCGGCCUGAGAGGGUGACCGGCCACACUGGGACUGAGACACGGCCCAGACUCCUACGGGAGGCAGCAGUGGGGAAUAUUGCACAAUGGGCGAAAGCCUGAUGCAGCAACGCCGCGUGAGGGACGACGGCCUUCGGGUUGUAAACCUCUUUUAGCAGGGAAGAAGCGAAAGUGACGGUACCUGCAGAAAAAGCGCCGGCUAACUACGUGCCAGCAGCCGCGGUAAUACGUAGGGCGCAAGCGUUAUCCGGAAUUAUUGGGCGUAAAGAGCUCGUAGGCGGUUUGUCGCGUCUGCUGUGAAAACUGGAGGCUCAACCUCCAGCCUGCAGUGGGUACGGGCAGACUAGAGUGCGGUAGGGGAGAUUGGAAUUCCUGGUGUAGCGGUGGAAUGCGCAGAUAUCAGGAGGAACACCGAUGGCGAAGGCAGAUCUCUGGGCCGUAACUGACGCUGAGGAGCGAAAGGGUGGGGAGCAAACAGGCUUAGAUACCCUGGUAGUCCACCCCGUAAACGUUGGGAACUAGUUGUGGGGUCCAUUCCACGGAUUCCGUGACGCAGCUAACGCAUUAAGUUCCCCGCCUGGGGAGUACGGCCGCAAGGCUAAAACUCAAAGGAAUUGACGGGGACCCGCACAAGCGGCGGAGCAUGCGGAUUAAUUCGAUGCAACGCGAAGAACCUUACCAAGGCUUGACAUAUACGA